AACGAACGCUGGCGGCAGGCCUAAUACAUGCAAGUCGAGCGCUCUAGCAAUAGAGAGCGGCGCACGGGUGCGUAACGCGUGGGAAUGUACCUCUAGGUGCGGAACAACGUCGGGAAACUGACGCUAAUACCGCAUAAUAUCUCCGGAUCAAAGAUUUAUCGCCUAGGGAUCAGCCCGCGUUGGAUUAGCUAGUUGGUGAGGUAAUGGCUCACCAAGGCGACGAUCCAUAGCUGGUCUGAGAGGAUGAUCAGCCACACUGGGACUGAGACGCGGCCCAGACUCCUACGGGAGGCAGCAGUAAGGAAUAUUGGACAAUGGAGGAAACUCUGAUCCAGCCAUGCCGCGUGAGUGAAGAAGGCCU
rnacentral:rRNA from 1 species